rnacentral:lncRNA from 1 species
GCCCACCACCUCCAUGGCGGCGGCGAUCAGGCACCACGCAGCAGCCCAGGCGCGCGCGCGCGGCGACAUAGGAACAUGAGAGCGCGACGCGACGCGACACGAGGGCGGCCGGUGGGGCCGUUAUUCUCGUUAUCGUGGGGAGGCCGCAGGCAGCGCGCGCGGCCUGAGAACUUUAUGCGCACACCGCACGAGGGCUCGCGACAGAAAAAGCUGCGGAUAGAGAGGGUGGCCGGCUCUGGUUGGCCACCGGCUGACCUCGUCGUCGUCUUCCUCUGUCCCUCCCCCCUGCCAGAGCCGUUCUUCCUCACGUAAUCCACGGCCUCAACGACGACCAACUGUCGCUGCUCAUCGUGACGCCAUAAUACCUAACCUCCACUUCCUAAUCCUACUCACUAACUAUCUCCAAUUUGGGGAUAAAUCAUCACUCACACUACAGCUCCAGCUCCUAAUCUCAAUUGGCUCAUCGCAAAACAGCAAAACAAACAAGACUCCUGUUCUGGGUUUGCUUGACCAGAAGUUUGCAGGAAUCGCAGGGAGAGUAUCAGGUUCAACGCGUGUUCUGUUCAGACCCAAAGGGGGAGGAGAGGGGGUCAAUUUGUCGGAUUGAUCACGGUGCAAAAGAAAGCUAGGAUGGAUUAUGGAUGGCAUUGUCAAAUGGAGCUUUCCAAGCCAAACCGGAAAGCGACGGGACCCGUUUCUGUGCCUGGACUUGGGAGGCUUACGUUUGUGGACAGACCAAGAAAGAGAAGCUGCAGUAGCCUAGCUAGAAAGGUACCUUUGCGUUGUGCCAUCGAGUUGAACCUCAACCCAGCACAUGCUUUUUAUUUUUAUUUUCUUCUUCUAGCUACUACAGUUGAAUAGAGAUGAAAACAGUAUAAAAAUUCCGAAUCAUAUAGAUAUUAUUUUUGCAAAAAUGAUAUAAAAAUAUUAUCUUUUCUGAAUAUUUAUGUUUGUAAGAUAUAUUUUUUAUAUAUUUAUGUUCGUUAUUGAG